UACGAAGGGGGCUAGCGUUGCUCGGAAUCACUGGGCGUAAAGGGUGCGUAGGCGGGUCUUUAAGUCAGGGGUGAAAUCCUGGAGCUCAACUCCAGAACUGCCUUUGAUACUGAGGAUCUUGAGUCCGGGAGUGGUGAGUGGAACUGCGAGUGUAGAGGUGAAAUUCGUAGAUAUUCGCAAGAACACCAGUGGCGAAGGCGGCUCACUGGCCCGGUACUGACGCUGAGGCACGAAAGCGUGGGGAGCAAACAGG
rnacentral:rRNA from 1 species